rnacentral:pre_miRNA from 11 species
GGCUGACGCACGGCAGUUCUUCACUGGCAAGCUUUAUGUUCCCGUGCACAUGCUAAAGCUGCCAGCUGAAGAACUGCUGUGGUCAGCC